GGGUCCGUGGCGUAAUGGACAGCGCAGCCGCCUCUUAAGCGGCCAGGUGAGGGUUCGACUCCCUCCGGUCCCA
rnacentral:tRNA from 1 species